ACAUCCAGAGAACUUGGCAGAGAUGCCUUGGUGCCUUCGGGAACUCUGAGACAGGUGCUGCAUGGCUGUCGUCAGCUCGUGUUGUGAAAUGUUGGGUUAAGUCCCGNAACGAGCGCAACCCCUAUCCUUUGUUGCCAGCGAUUCGGUCGGGAACUCAAAGGAGACUGCCGGUGAUAAACCGGAGGAAGGUGGGGAUGACGUCAAGUCAUCAUGGCCCUUACGAGUAGGGCUACACACGUGCUACAAUGGCGCAUACAAAGAGAAGCGACCUCGCGAGAGCAAGCGGACCUCAUAAAGUGCGUCGUAGUCCGGAUCGGAGUCUGCAACUCGACUCCGUGAAGUCGGAAUCGCUAGUAAUCGUAGAUCAGAAUGCUACGGUCGAAUACGUUCCCGGGCCUUGUACACACCGCCCGUCACACCAUGGGAGUGGGUUGCAAAAGAAGUAGAUAGCUUAACCUUCGGGAGGGCGUUUACCACUUUGUGAUUCAUGACUGGGGUGAAGUCGUAACAAGGUAAGCGUAGCGAG
rnacentral:rRNA from 1 species